rnacentral:rRNA from 1 species
UACGGGGGAUCCAAGCGUUAUCCGGAAUCAUUGGGUUUAAAGGGUCCGUAGGCGGUUGAAUAAGUCAGUGGUGAAAUCUCAUAGCUUAACUAUGAAAUUGCCAUUGAUACUGUUUAACUUGAAUAAUUAGGAAGUCACUAGAAUAUGUAGUGUAGCGGUGAAAUGCUUAGAUAUUACAUGGAAUACCGAUUGCGAAGGCAGGUUACUACUAAUUUAUUGACGCUGAUGGACGAAAGCGUGGUUAGCGAACAGG